rnacentral:lncRNA from 1 species
UUAAACUAAUUAUGUUAAUUAGGGAAUAAUCCUCCCUUGAACAGAAACGCUUCGUGCGGUUCCUAGCCAACCGACGCGGCGGUUUUCCCACGACCCCCACGACUGGACGCAUCCGUUCGUGGCGACGGUUUCGUGUGUAUUUAAUCUUCACGGAUCAUCAAUGAAAGAGAUAGUUCAUUCUAAACACGUUAUCAGCCCGUAACUCUACCGAGAGCAGAGAAAAGGCAAAA